UGGAUAAUUAGCCAAUUUAGGCUUUGUUGCAUGAGUCUAAGCUACGUAGAAUAAGAGAAAUAGAAGAAGAAGUAAAAGAAGGAGGAGGAGGAGGAGGAGGAGAAGGAGAAGGAAGAGGAGAAGAAGAAGAAAAGAAGAAGGAGAAGGUGAAGGAGGAAGAAGGAGGAAGAAGAAGGAGAAGGAGGAGCUCCUUCUCCUUCUU
rnacentral:lncRNA from 1 species